AGCGAACGCUGGCGGCAGGCCUAACACAUGCAAGUCGAACGAACCUUUCGGGGUUAGUGGCGGACGGGUGAGUAACACGUGGGAACGUGCCUUUAGGUUCGGAAUAACUCAGGGAAACUUGUGCUAAUACCGAAUGUGCCCUUCGGGGGAAAGAUUAAUCGCCUUUAGAGCGGCCCGCGUCUGAUUAGCUAGUUGGUUGAGGUAAUGGCUCACCAAGGCGACGAUCAGUAGCUGGUCUGAGAGGAUGAUCAGCCACAUUGGGACUGAGACACGGCCCAAACUCCUACGGGAGGCAGCAGUGGGGAAUCUUGCGCAAUGGGCGAAAGCCUGACGCAGCCAUGCCGCGUGAAUGAUGAAGGUCUUAGGAUUGUAAAAUACUUUCACCGGGGACGAUAAUGACGGUACCCGGAGAAGAAGCCCCGGCUAACUUCGUG
rnacentral:rRNA from 1 species